GGCGAGAGUAGUACUAGGAUGGG
rnacentral:ncRNA from 2 species